GCACUGUCGAAGAGUCCGAUAAUAGGACGAAACGGCCGUCCAGUGC
rnacentral:hammerhead_ribozyme from 1 species